ensembl:lncRNA
CAUGAAGCUUAUGUACAUCUGUGUGUGGUCAAAACCCUUUUAAAGGCUCUAUGUGGGAUCAGGGUUGGUGGGAGGCUCAGAGGAUUUGUAAAGGGAAGUACCUGAGCAAGGUAAUUCCAGCGCCUUCACGCCCACUGGCAGGUUGCACAAAUAAAUACUGGACCUGUUUCCGAUGUAUUCAGCCUCCAUUGAUGUUUUAUCUGUCCCGACUCAUCCUCUGAAACAGAUACUGUGAAGAUGAAAUUAAUGUACGAUAUUGGAAUGCUCUGUGUAAGGUAAGCUCGCUUCGAAUCCAACAUGGAGGUAAAGAAAGAUUGUGAGUGGUCCCCAGGGGAACGCCCUGCUACUCCCCCC